GACGAACGCUGGCGGCGUGCUUAACACAUGCAAGUCGAACGAUGAAGCUAGAGCUUGCUCUGGUGAAUUAGUGGCGAACGGGUGAGUAACACGUGAGUAACCUGCCCCGAACUCUGGGAUAACUGCUGGAAACGGUAGCUAAUACUGGAUACGACCUACGAAGGCAUCUUCUGUAGGUGGAAAGAAUUUCGGUUCGGGAUGGACUCGCGGCCUAUCAGCUUGUUGGUGAGGUAAUGGCUCACCAAGGCGACGACGGGUAGCCGGCCUGAGAGGGUGACCGGCCACAUGGGGACUGGGACACGGCCCAGACUACUACGGGAGGCAGCAGUGGGGAAUAUUGCACAAUGGGCGCAAGCCUGAUGCAGCAACGCCGCGUGAGGGAUGACGGCCUUCGGGUUGUAAACCUCUUUUAGUAGGGAAGAAGCGAAAGUGACGGUACCUGCAGAAAAAGCACCGGCUAACUACGUGCCAGCAGCCGCCGCGG
rnacentral:rRNA from 1 species